GAUGAACGCUAGCGAUAGGCUUAACACAUGCAAGUCGAGGGGCAUCACGAGGUAGCAAUACUUUGGUGGCGACCGGCGCACGGGUGCGUAACGCGUAUGCAAUCUACCUUUUGCAGAGGGAUAGCCCAGAGAAAUUUGGAUUAAUACCUCAUAGUAUUAUAGUAUGGCAUCAUAUUAUAAUUAAAGUCACAACGGCAAAAGAUGAGCAUGCGUCCCAUUAGUUAGUUGGUAAGGUAACGGCUUACCAAGACUACGAUGGGUAGGGGUCCUGAGAGGGAGAUCCCCCACACUGGUACUGAGACACGGACCAGACUCCUACGGGAGGCAGCAGUGAGGAAUAUUGGACAAUGGGCGCAAGCCUGAUCCAGCCAUGCCGCGUGCAGGAUGACGGUCCUAUGGAUUGUAAACUGCUUUUGCACAGGAAGAAACAACGCUACGUGUAGCGUCUUGACGGUACUGUGAGAAUAAGGAUCGGCUAA
rnacentral:rRNA from 1 species